GCCAAAUGCAACCUAAUAGAGUCUCUUUGGAGGUCAGGUUAUAUCACCCAAUAAUAACUAUACUAUUGAAGAGAGCUGAGAACGAAAUUGAUUGACCUGAGUCAUUUUCUUUCUUCAUAUGAGAUUUGAGCCUGCUGACUUCAAAACCACUGUUUGGUAUUUAUGAAUAUAGGUCUGAUUUAACUUUUAACCCUAUGAUUCUGCUAGUUAUACUGAUCUAUUCCGUCAAUUAAUAGGAUUUUCAGUCUAAUCAUCCAAACAAACUCUCUUCCUACCAUCCCACGAUCCAAGGGUUCAACCAUCCAAAUGGUGUAUACGAAUAAUAACAGUUAUUUUACACCUGGCAUCCAAAGAUCCUACGGUUCGCUCCCAUCUUCAAACCCGCCAUAAAUUUUAAGCAAUGAAGUAAAUGGAAAACAAAAAAAAAAAAGAAAAAAGGACGAGAGUGGUGUAACAUGUCCAAAUUCUUCUUUGUCAGAUUUCUCACUGAUCAAACUUUGGUUUUGUGGUCACUGUGGAUACGAGCGGACCUACCGUAUCUUGCAUUCUGUUCAAGUGGACCCAAGGGGGGUUGGUGUCCGUUGUCAACGCUGCAUGCUGAUGUAAUUAUAAACCUGAGCUUGCUCAUACUGGAGUUAUCCACCCCAUGGCCCUUGACCUAAUUAUGUUUUCCCGGUCUGAGAGGCCUCUUGGAGGCCAUUUUGGCUCACGUAAAAGAGGCUUAGAUAUGUCUGCAUGAGAUCUCAGAACUUUCUGAGUUUUCAACUACAUAUCAGCACUAAUAUCUCAUUCACAAAAGGCCAUCAAGAAUCACGUUGCAUUGGCUUUUUUCAGCCUUAACAAAAAAAGUCAUGCUCAAAAUGCUCGUCCUUGUGAGCGUCCCUUGGCACUUGUAAUUUCGUUGCCAAGUCUGGAGAACUGACCUGGUCGACGAUAGGCCACCAGCCCUUUUGUUUGCCUGGGGAUACCAACACAAAUGACGUAGACAAUAUCCAAACCAGAAGAUUCGGGGCCCUAUGUCACUAUCUAAUAAAUGGACAGGUUGUUGUUGGCUUUUAAUAGUCGCCGCAGCUUGACUUGGUACAUGGAUUUUGGGUCAACUCACAUAUUCUUAAUCGGGCUACAUGCUGAGGGUCAGAAAGAAAUGGUAAGAAAAACAUCAUAAAAAACAAAUUCCAAAAAAAUUAAUGGGUUGGUAGUUUGACCAUUUGGACAUGCUCUCGCUCAAGAUCUUUGAAAUGAAAACACAACAGAAAAGUAUAAACCUGCCAGGUCAAAGAUGUUUGUGAUGGUACAAAAUGGUUGAAUUGGAUAACAACAAGGGAACAAGUCUUCACCUCCAACUAACUGCAGACUUUGUCAUGAAGCUAUCAUCAAUAAUUGCUGCCGCCUUUCCAAAACAUCUAGAACAAGCGUGUCUAGGAUGAUGCUCGAACACAAUUGCCCAUAGGAAUGUAAUUUUCUGACCCAUUCUUGCUUAAAUGGUUUCAAUAAGGAGUGGUUGCCGGAAAAAAAAAACAAAGAAGAAGAAGAAAAAACAGUAGACCGCUGAAAUAUGCAACCGUUGGCAUCAGCCAUUGCCAAAUAUAAAAGAUCAAUAGGAUCAUUAACCCAGAAGCAUGGCUAUUGGAGAUGAAAGGCUCUUCCCCCGAGUUAGUUAUUUAUUAUAUAGUUAGGGUGGUACAUGUACAUGGAUAUUAGCUGAGUUUUUUCCGUGAAGUUGAAAGUGCAUUCAUAGAACGCAUGUGUAUGAACCCAGAGGUGAUAGAGUAAUAGAUGACACUACAACAGAACCGAUUGAACAAUCAUUGAUUUUUUUUUUAUCAUGAUACAAUUAUUGCAAGAGAAUAUGUUUGGAAAAAAUAAAUUUGAAGCAUGAAGAAAUGUUUCCUGCGAAAAAAAAGACAUCGAGAAAUAUGUGAACGUUGGAAGAAGAUCUCUGUGUAUACUAGAUAAUAAACUCGUCUUAAAUAGAGAAGAAAAGAUUAAAAAACCAGAGGAGAUCAUAUAAGUCAGAUUGAAAUAAUCUAUAUCCUCUUCUCAGCAUUUAUAUAUAUAUAUAUAACAAAAAAAAAAUGAUAGAGAACUGGUGCACGACGUGUGAGUGAUCCUCCAUCACCAUGGGACAGGUUUUUGAAGGCCUUCAUGAAGUUUCUCAUCGUUGGAAUUUUCGGGAGUUUUGGUUGAAGCUUCAAAUACAUGCUUAGAAGCCUCUCCAAGCAAUACUACUGCCAUACCCUUUCUUUCAUCUAGAAUGCGUGUAGCUUAUAUCCUAAUAUAUUAGUAAUAUUUCAUAACUCAAUGAUGUCAAUUGCAUAACAUUGGAAGUUACACUCUCAAUUACGUUACUUCCUCUGACUGCUUUCAUCUUUAUUCACAGAGUCCAGAUAUCUUUAUUAUCACCACGAGUCCUUUUCAUCUUGAUCCUUCAAUUCUUCUUUGGCUCAAGAACUUUUUUUUUUUAAGUGCUUAGAUAUAAAAAACUAACAAUAAUUCAAGUUCGAAGUACUUCACAAGAAGAGCAACACACGGAAAAGAUGUCACCAUAUUCCAUCAAUAAGAGAACCAACUACCCCGCAAUACAUGGCUUUUUCUAUGUAGGUGACCCGUGACCAUGGGAAAGAACGCACAUAAAGAACUCCUCAAUGGGAACCCUCUUUCCCAUUGGCUAACAUAAAUUUUCCAUAUUUCCACAUGUGCACCAUGUCUAAUGUCUAAAUAACAAUAUAGUUGUCGGAAUCCAAGUAUAAACGCAACAAAAUACCAAUAUCAUCUACAUCGAUGCCAUUUUAAUUAUAACUGGAGGACAAAGUUUUGAUCUUUUUUUUAACAUUUUUGUUGAGACCACCAGAGCUUUACAAAUGCAAAAAAAGCAGCCCAACCGCGGCGCAUUUCUACAUUGGAUAACAGAUGAUCAAAAUGAAAUGGUAAAACUUAUUUUCUUAAAAAAGAAAAGAUAAAAUUAAAAAAAUAAAAAAUGGAAGAUUUUAUCUUUGGAAGGGAUGACGUGACCGGCUGAGGCCGUUCGCGUUGGUGAACAAACCGAACAGCUCCUGCCGGUACGGUAAGAAUGACCGCCGCCCGCCCUUCACCUUCUCCUCGUUUCCCUUCCCGUAAAACAGCCGGUGGGCGGUGACCAGAUCCAACUCCGUCGCCCGAGCCCCCUUCUUCUCCCCUUUCUUCGUCGCCACCGCCGCCUGCGCCUGAGGGUUAGGGUUAGGGUUACGAGUUUUAUCAUCCGCCGCUAGGAAGACAAACUUCUCCUUCCCAUCGCUGUGGCUCCGCCCCGCCAUCAGGUCGCGAAGCCGCCCCCGCUGGGCUGUCGACCCCGUGGAGGCGCUCUUCUUGCACUGCUCCGCCGACGCCCGAGACCACACGCAGUACUCCCCCACCACCGCCUCCGCCUCAGACGAAGCAGACGACGAGGAGCUCCGUUCCAUCUCCGCCGCCGGCGAGAGGAGGAGGUUACGGUCGAAGACAGGGUAAGAGGGGAGGAUGCGGCCGUUGCAGAAGAUCUCAUCGGCAGUGAUUGAAGGCUCCGCCUCCGGGUCCCUCGCCGCGAAGGCGAACUCGAAAUUGCCGCUGGAGUCAUCGUCUCCGUCUUCCUCCUCCUCCGGCGCUUCCGCCACCGGUGGUUCGGGCAGGUGAGUGGCGGCGGAGAUCUGAUGAAGGGACUCCUGAUGGACGGCGGUGAUCUCCUCCUCCGUCCCACCGAAGCCGGGGGACAGCGUGAGAUAGGGCUUCUUCUCAGGGUGUUCCGCCAUCGCUUUCUCUCUAGAAUAUAUCUUUCUACUGCUAUAUUAUUCUUGGGGAGGGAAGGAGGGAGGGAGUUGGGUACAGAGAGAGAGAGGACGGCGUUGGUUUUAUAGAGCAAGGGGGAGCCGCGUGAGGCCUGGUUGGUUGACCGGGUGACCGCGUUGCAUUGCUUUCCCUGGAGGGAAAGUAUUUUUAAAACCGCGUUCACCCGGCGCGAUCUCGCACAUGCGGUAAUGUCUAGGUCCAAGAAAACGACGGGCUUCUCUUUUAAAAGUUAAAACCACCCCACCCCCCCCCCCCCAAAAAAAAAAAGGGACGGGUCUCUCGAGUCUGCGCUGACGUUUAGAUCCAAGAUUUUUAUGUGGGCGGCAGAUCCGCCGUCCGGUUAUUCCCGAUUUUUAGUUGGGGACAAAAAUUUAUGUACAUUUUUAACAUAGUAAGUGGGGUAACUAGAAUUUAUGACCACCGAAUCACCAACUGAAAGAUAAUUUGCCAUGGCCUCGAAUUAUUAUUUGGUUUAGAUGCAAACCAACAAUGCUGUUUGGUCUUAAUUGAAUUAAAAGCUUUAGUCAGCUUUAGUAAGGUUUAUUGACAUAAUUGGACCAUCAAGGCGGGAAUCUAUCUAUAAAGUUUGAUAUCCUAGCUGGUCUCGGCUGUCAUACCUUUAUUUGGUCCAAAGGAUAGAUAGAGAAGGAAAAAUGGGGAAGUGGGAGGCUGGUUUGGAUUUUUUAUCUAUCAUUUCAUGUAUUUAAUGAAAUACAGAAAAAUGGAUCGGGAUGAUUCUUUUUUUUGUUUGGUGUAGGAGGAAUAAAAUGAAUGAUGGAAUUUAGAGAUGCCAAUCAAGUCGGCCGGAUGCCAAUUGGAUCAAAAAAUUAUUAAUCCAAAUUCAAUAUAAAUAGAUAAUCCAUUCUGAUGCUUACAACCCAUCUAUUGAAUAAAUCAAAUCAAGUUAAACAGAUUAGUAGAUUAAACAUAUUAAACAUGUCGGAUUAAAUAAGUUAUAAAUAAAUUAGGCAUAUUUUAAACAGAUUAAAUGGGUAAGGUCAUAUCCAAUCUAAUUAUUAAAUAGGUCCAAAUGAGUUAAACGGAUUAAAUGUCUAAUAUGAACCUAAACUAUUUAACGAACAGGUCUAGAUGAAUUGAUCUGUUUAGAAUUCAAACAUGUUUAAAAAGGAUGUCCACAGGUUGGAUUAACAAGUCGGAUUAUAAAUUGCCACCUAUAGAAUUUAUAAUAUUUAUAUGAUUUUUUUAUAAAAUUAUUGAUACAUAUCGUAGUAUACCAAAAUUAAUCCUACUCACUACUAUAUAAAUAGGAUGAGUCGGGAUCGUAUCUACAGAGACUUAGGCCGAUUAUUUCGAAAAUACAAAUGAAAAGAAUAAUAGAUUACAAGAAACUAAGAAUAAAAUAUGAAGAUUGCAAUAAAAAAUAUUUUUUAUUGAUCAAAUAAAGAAGCAUAUAUAAUAAAAAUAAUAAAAAUAUAAUACAAGACAACUAAAUCAAGUUAAACUUCUCACUAUGCCCGAUGGUGAAUGCACCUCCUUGAAUCCUUUGUCUUCCUUCUUGCAGCUAGCGGCAGGAUGGCUGGAAGACUUAGUCUAUAAACUUUAAGAAAGAAAGGUAGAUAGAAGAGGGUAUGAAAAUAUAAAAAGGAUAACAGCACUAGGAUUAGAACUUCUUCUAGAUUUGAUGGAAGGCGUGCUAAGGUUAGGACUUUUCCUAGACUUCUUAGAAUGUGGAGAAUGAAUCUAUGGAAUAAUAUGGUAUUGUGCUAGGGUUAGUAUCUCCUCUAGACUUAUGGAGAAGAGAGAAAGAGAGAUGGAGGUAGCAGUUUGGAGAGAAACUAAAGCAUCGGCUUGAUGGGAAGAGAGAAAGAGAAGAGCUUUGAUGGAGGAGAGGAGGAAAAGAGAGAAAAGAAGAUGAAGAAUCCCAUAAGGGGACUGAUGUCCCUUUAGAAGAGAAGGGGGUGUGUAUUUAUAGAGUGGAGGCUAAAGUUUUAUGAGAAAAAAGAUGGAAGCAUGAAUAAGGAUCCUUAGAUCUUCAUAUUACUUCUCCUCCGUUGAUCAAUAAGUCACGUUCACACGAGAUCUUCAUGAAGAGUGAUCUUUUAAUUUGAGUCCUUGAUAUUUAAGUCAUGUUCAUUCUUGAUUCUAUUUAUCUUUUAAUCUAGGCUUUUGAUUGGAGAGGUUGCUUUUUGACCUUUGAUCUUUAAGUCGCAUUCACAUUUGAAUAGGAACUGGUUGUCUGGUUCACUCAAUUCUGAUCUGAUUUGAGUCCAAUUUAAAUCGUAUAAAUUCAAACUCUUAAUUACUUAUCAAAUAGACUAAAGAGCAUCAAAUUUUAAUAAUAUAAUAUAAAUUAUCAUAAUAUUUAAUAUCUUUAAUGACUGAAAUUAAGUAUUCAUCACACUUUUCAAUUUGAACUUUACUCGUCCUCGAGUAAAAUAGAUAUAUUAGCAUUGUGCAUCAAAUUAUCUUUGAAUUAAAAGUUAUCUUAGGUAUUUCUAACUGUAAUGGAUACCCGACUGAACUAUUAAAGAGGUAGUUCAUUGGAUUACUAAUUCAACCCAAUUAAUGGUGAAUAUUAGCCAUAGAAAUUUUAGAGAUCUUCUUUCAUCAACUCUCCACUAUAUUCUUUAAGUCCUCUAACUUGAUGUGAGCAGAAUUUAUUAUCUUCUUACAGUUUAGUUCUUAUUUUUUAAAAUUUUUUUCUCUUUUUUUUUUCAAGAAGAGUCUAGUGCAAUAUCUUAGCCUUUUGAGCUUUCUAGCAGAACCUUAUAGCAAGCUUUCAGCCAGUGACUCCCAAAUCAGUUGGCUUUAAGGUAUUAGAUGUAAAUCAUCCUUCAGACUUACUGACUCGAGUCCAAAAAAAGUUACAAGAUGAGACAGACUCUAUAACAGUCUUUUAGCAUCCCCACCUAUUGAUGUAAACUACAAUGUUUACUUAGGCAAAGGAGUCCGGUUACUCAAGAGACAAUGCUAAAUCAUUUUUUUUCAUCUUCUUUUUUUUACAAUAAAAAAGGGAUUGUUGCAUUCCUCGACCUUUCCAUCCAUACCCCCAUGAAACAGAUUAUUCAUUGAGAUGGUGGGAAGAGGGUUCUGAAAAUACUCUAAAAUUUGGUCUAGUCUAAGUCUUACUAUUCAUUAGAUUUUUUUAAUAAUUUAUCUCUUAGUGUCUCUACAAUUAUCUAGAUCGUUAAUCACUCAUUGAUUAAGAUGUCUGAUUAACUUCAAAUCGAGAUAAAAUUUAGAUACACAAAGCUAAUUAUUUCUGAUCAUACUUGAUGACUCAAUUAAAUUAAUUUUCUUCCUCUCUGACUUAAUUUUUAUUGUCCUCAAUGAAAGAAGAGAAUCAUAAUAAAAUAUAACAAGAAAGGAUCCAUCUAAGUUUGAUGUGUGCAUUUAUUAUUGAGAAAUCCUCCAUUGUUGGGUGUGGUGUAUUCUUGACUCCAACUGGCAUGAACAUAGCUCCCUCCCUAAUUUGGCUAGCAGCAUCACUCAUCCACUCCACUAUAGAGAUUCAACUUAGCUAAUUAUCUUUUUAGAGAUUUCUAUAAAAAAUAAAAAUAAAAAUAUUGCAUAAGCUGGGUUACCUUCCAACAAGCAUUAAGUUUAGCGUCUUAAACCAGAUGCUAUGAGGGAGUCCCAUCUAUAACCAACUUAGGUAUGUCCCUCAAAGUUUCAAAAGAACAAGAUCAAUCAGAAAGUCUUAUCAUCAUAGUCGAAAAAUAUUCAUCGAAUGCUCUACAAUGAUUAGUUUAGACCAAUAGAAUAUAUUGGAUAAGCACGCAAUACCAAGGACUAACAAUAUUCUCAUAAUUUGUUUGAUGACCAGGAAGGAAUUGUGUUUGUUGAACCAAUAUUAGGGUUAGUAGUUUAAGAGUUUUUUCAAUUACAACCUAAUCUACUCUAAUCUCUGUCUCGGAUAUGAUAUAUUUUGGCAUCAUCUCUUUCCAAUCUAUAGCAUGAUAUUUUUUUCAAAUUAACAUUAAAUCUAUCUCCAUACAUCAUUUUAGCAUCAUAGAAGAAUUUUGGAGACAAUCCUCGAAAGUAGUGUCAAAAAUAGAGAAAUCAAUCAUAAAAAUCUCAAUAUUAUUAUCCCUCAUUUCAGAGAUAUUCCAUCCAACAGCUUCUUUAUGUGCUUUUAGAAUACCUGCAAGUUGGACUUUUUAAUUAGGGAUCACUAGAAGGAUGUCAGUGGGUGAGUCAAGAAGUGGCUUCAGUUCUAGAGCAGAAGGUGAUUCUAAUAAGAGAGCUAUUGAAGGGUUAGAUGAUGGUUCAUAUUUUUCAAUCCAAAAUAUGAUGGUUUUAGGAUAGAACGUAUCAACUAGAUCAUUUAUUUUUGUGAUAUACCUAUCAACAUCAAAAUCAUCCAUCUCAAAGUGAACUAAACAGGGAUCUAAGGAAUCCUGAAGGAGAAUUGUAGGCAUAACUUUCCCUAUUAUGUUAUUCAUUUGUGAUCCUUGAAAAAUCUCAAUUAAUUUCAUUUUAUCAAUUUGUCCUCCUUUUCCGUUACAAAGAAUGGAUGAUUCUAGGACACUUAGAAAUGAGACCAUAAGUAGGUAAGGUGAUGAUAGAAUUGGUUCAUCCCACUAUUUGAAUUUCUCUCUAGAUAUUUUUAUCUUAGUCGAAUUAUCUGUACUGAUCAUUUUGGUUGUGCAGGAUUGUUCUAUAACUAGUUCGUUCCCGAGAGUCAUAAUCGAUUGUUCAGAAAAAAUUAUAGAGACAUUAAAAUUUUUAGCCAGGUAUUGUCCCUUUAGAUUACUCUUAGACUGACUAAGCAGAUUUUUUUCCUCCUCCCUACUAAUUGCAAUUACUGAUUGAUCGACUUGAAUUUUUAUUUCGGCUAAGAAUUGCAUAGAGGAGUGAAGGAGUUGAUUGGUGCUUUCAAUCCUAUAUAGUGCUUGUAAAACUUUCUCUUCAAAUGAUGGGCUAUAGAUAGCUGGAGAAGAUUGAUAUUGCGAAUAGAGUAUAUCGUAAUAGGGUGCUUCUACAAAUGUAGAUCAUUGUAUUACCAAAGUAACCACUGGCUAUAGUUUUCAUGAAAAAUUUGGUUGAAUCUUUCAACUUGGAUUGUAGUCGUUAAAGAAUGGGUUAUUUUUCGGUUCAUAGGCUAUUUGGGUUUGAUAUUGAUGAACUUGCUCAUACCUAAACUCGAAAAAUUGGUGCACGAUUAGGCAUUCAACUUAUUGUGCCGGAAGAAAAGAUACAGAGAGAGUUUAUCUAAUAGCCAGUAGGCAAUCUAAUCUAUAAGACAGCUCAUCCUCUCUACUGUAGAAAUUCAUAUUUCUAGCAUCGAUCUAAUUUAUCGAAUUAUUCUGAUUAUUUUAAUAUAUAAUCAAGAGGUCCAGAUCAGAACAAUCCCC
rnacentral:lncRNA from 1 species